AGGGCCGCUACCACGCGAGUGGAUGCCAAUCCCUAAAACCCCUCUCAGUUCGGACUGGAGUCUGCAACCCGACUCCACGAAGCUGGAUUCGCUAGUAAUCGCGCAUCAGCCACGGCGCGGUGAAUACGUUCCCGGGCCUUGUACACACCGCCCGUCAAGCCAUGGGAGCCGGGGGUACCUGAAGUGCGUAACCGCGAGGAUCGCCCUAGGGUAAAACUGGUGACUGGGGCUAAGUCGUAACAAGGUACC
rnacentral:rRNA from 1 species